UACGGAGGGUGCAAGCGUUAUCCGGAAUUACUGGGUUUAAAGGGUGCGUAGGCGGCUUGAUAAGUCAGAGGUGAAAGCCUAUCGCUUAACGAUAGAAUUGCCUUUGAUACUGUAAAGCUUGAAAGGGGUUGAGGUCAGCAGAAUGUGGCAUCUAGCGGUGAAAUGCAUAGAUAUGCCAUAGAACACCGAUUGCGAAGGCAGCUGGCUGGGCCUACUUUGACGCUGAGGCACGAAAGCGUGGGGGGCGAACAGG
rnacentral:rRNA from 1 species